rnacentral:rRNA from 1 species
GUAGGUGGCAAGCGUUGUCCGGAAUUAUUUGGCGUAAAGCGCGCGCAGGCGGUUCUUUAAGUCUGAUGUGAAAGCCCACGGCUCAACCGUGGAGGGUCAUUGGAAACUGGAGAACUUGAGUACAGAAGAGGAAAGCGGAAUUCCACGUGUAGCGGUGAAAUGCGUAGAGAUGUGGAGGAACACCAGUGGCGAAGGCGGCUUUCUGGUCUGUAACUGACGCUGAGGCGCGAAAGCGUGGGGAGCAAACAGGGAUUAGAUACCCUGUAGUCCACGCCGUAAACGAUGAGUGCUAAGUGUUAGGGGGUUUCCGCCCCCCUUAGUGCUGCAGCUAACGCAUUAAGCACUCCGCCCUGGGAGUACGGCCGCAAGGCUG